CUACAAUCAUCCAGGAGACUCAGGAGUGAAGCUGCUGUCGGCUGGACUGAAGGAUCCACACUGGAGACUGGAAGCUCUCAGGGUGGAGCCUGCUGGAGGCCGAUUCUUGACUCCAGGUCUGAGGAAAUAUUCCUGUCAACUCACCAUCGACAAAAACACAGUGGGCAGAAACCUCAAACUGUCUACAGACAACAGGAAGGUGACAUGGAUGAUGCAGCUUCAGUCAUAUCCUGAUCAUCCAGACAGAUUUGAUUACUGGCACCAACUGCUGUGUAGAACUGGUCUGACUGGUCGCUGUUACUGGGAGGUCAAGUGGAGAGGAAGAGUUGAUAUAUCAGUGAGUUACAGAAGAAUCAAGAGGAAAGGAAACAGUGGAGACUGUGUGUUUGGAUGGAAUGAUCAUUCCUGGAGUUUGAUCUGCUCUGAUGAUGAUGGUUAUUCUGUCAUUCAAAAUGACGUACAAACUCAUCUCUCCUCCUCCUCUGACUCUAACAGAGUAGCAGUGUAUGUGGACUGUCCUGCUGGCAUUCUGUCCUUCUACAGAGUCUCCUCUGACUCACUGAUCCUCCUCCACACCUUCAACACCACAUUCACUGAACCUCUGAUUCCUGGAUUUGGAUUCUGUUCUUAUGGUUCCUCAGUGUUUCUGUGCUGAUUUGAGUCUAAAUAAGUGGUCCCCGUUUUUUUUUAUACCAUGAACCGAUCAAGAUUUGGCAAUUUUGCUGCGGCCCAGGGGAAAGGAGUGAGCCAUCAAAUAAUACUUCUGCAUGUUCCCGCUAAAGUCUUUUUUCUUUUGCCUUUACGACAAUCUUACUAUAUCCUACAGUGUAUGGUAUGUUGAAUAUGCCCGAUCUAAAAUCAGAAAGCACAGUGACGUAAGAACGGAGGGGAAUCCCAAACAAUUGACCUGGCAAUUGAGAGUUCGGUGGACAUUGGAAGUGAUAUGUGGAAAUGUUUAUUAUUAUGUGGUUAUGUUUAUUCAGUUUAAAAUGUUAACUAGAAUAAGACAUAACUUCCCUCCAAAUUGUAGAGGUAACACAUUACCAUCUCAUGAAGGUUAGAGGUCAAUGGU